GUGUUCAGGCCGGUCCACGCUGGGUGACCCAUGUGACCUGCUGCUUAGCAAUUCCUUGUCACCAUCUUCCCUUCUCAGCCUCUUUUUUCAUGCUAACAGGCAUAAAUGAAAUGAUAAAAGUUUGAGCUCUUCUCGUGGAAUUCUCGUGAUACAGAUAUGUGCUACAUGUUCAUCAUCUCGUUGGUCUUCACCAUGAUAACUGUGGAGUAAGAAUUAUAAGCAGGUCACAGAUUAGGGACUUGAGAUUGACAGUUUGGCUUCCCUGUUCUGGGUGGCAAAGCCUGUGGAGUACUCACCUACCUGCUGCAUGAAGGCAGCAUGGAGGGACUGUGGUGGAUUAUCUGCAAAGAUGGCCAAAAUUCUCUCAUCCCUGCAGGCACAUACAAGCCAGGUUUCCAGAAGUUCCCCAGUCAUUGAGCAUUUCUGAGGCUCUUGAUGCAUAUGCCAAGUAGUUAUGGAGAAAGACACAGCAGCUUACCUCUGCAGGCAUCAUUGUGUGAAAGGAAGACCCAGGCUCUCUCACCACCCUUGAACAGAAGCCUUUUGCUAAGGUGAUAGCUACAUGUCCAAGCCUAUUGCGUGGCAUGCAUUUUGCCUUCUGCAGCCCACUAAAGGUACACAAACACCAUUAGCCAAUCUGAAAAAAGAAAUUGAUGUCUAACUGGUUAUUAUUUCCUAGCAAGUGUUCUGCAAGUUGGGAAAUUGAAGUAUACAGAAUGCUUAUUUGGUCUACUCAGUAUCAUCCUAAAUGUAUGUACCAAUGCUUAGGAGUUUGCAGUUCACCCGCAAACCUCAGCGAUCCAAGCUCCCCUGGAUGACCAUCACUCACCAAGAAAAGAGCAAUAACAGGACCUGUUUUGCUAAUCCAGGACUGUUCUCCAGCACUAACUCUAAAUAAUCCCUUCUGCUAGAGUCCACUUUCUGGAACCUGUUGCCUCCGUUUUCAACGUUUCCCAAACUUGGUCCGUUGUGUGAGCUGGCUGAUAAAAGUUCCAGGGAGAAGACAUCUUACUCUUAUUGGAUCAUGCACAGUGCCUGAAGCAUUCUGUUGCAUGUAGAAGUCAGUAAAUUGCAGAUGUAAGAUUCAAAACCAGACUUCACAUCUACCGACUUCAGUGACCCUGAAAUUUGUUCACAGAGAGCAUUUAACAUAACUGUCUUCAUCAUCUCCUUCUCUACAUUAAAAAUUAUGGGCAACAGAAAGAAACUGAGGGUCUGCUAUUUGUCUCCAGAGGCCUUACAAACUGGUAGAAGAUGCAUAACAGAAGAGCUUAUGAAGUUAAAGAUGACAGCAUAGCAGCACUGGUGAGAUCCUUUUAGACAUAACAUGGUAGGAAGGACUGUUUGACAAAGUGAAUGCCUGUCUUUCAGAAUAUACAGGGAGGUGUGAUGUACCCAUUAUCACAAGCAGAUGGAAUCCCUAUAGAGUCGGAUCUCAUCUACAUAUCACCUAUUAUAUGUAGUUAUUGAUGGAUAAAUACUUCAACAACUAAAGGCAGAAAGAGAGCAGGUGGGCAUAGGAGUUAGUAAACAUCUCACUGCUAUUGUUUUUCAAGGUGAAGCUAGAGAAGAAGAUUCCUAAGAUGUAGGAGGAAAUUAUCAUACUGAGUAAGAGGGUGCAAUUUUGGAAGGUUGGACUUGAUGACCUCUCCAGCAUUAAGGGUGAAUGAUUCUUUCUAGGGAUUUGGUUUGUUGCCAGAGAGCCUGGCUACCUGCUAUUUAGUUGCUUUGUUGAUUAGCAAAUUUCCUCUGAAAUAUUCCUCACAUUCAUGAGCCCCCUUCCUGGGGUAGGUGGACCCAGAAAAUGUUUUCUCCCAUUUUAGUUGGCCAUGUGUUUGAAACUCAGAUGGACCUAAGUCUUUCAGCAUCAUUGUCACUACUGUAUGUCUAUCCAUAAAAAGAAGGCAUAAGACUCUCUGUAGUAUCACGAAGUUAGCCAUUUGGGAUUGCAAAAACUUUCCUCUUUCCAUUGGAGAGAAAUAGUUUAGAUUAGAUGGUGGAGCCCCUACCACAUCUCCCAAAAUUUAAAUUAUAACAUGAACAGUAAUUUAGGUCUGAUUUUAAUAUUUUGUCAUUCUUAAACCUAAUAAAAGCUACAUCUUCCUAAA
ensembl:lncRNA MIR7515HG MIR7515 host gene